UAUCCUUCCGGGAACAUCCGAUAAAAUUGGAACUGACACAAGAUUAGCAGCGCUCCUGCGCAGGAUGACACACAUAAAUAGAGAAAUUGUUCAAAUUUUU